UACAGAUACGCGGGUUACACACCACCUAUGCAAUGAAGUUAGUUUCAAUAUUCACUAUUGCCCCUCCAAUUGAAUGAGAUUGUGGUGAAAUUAAAUUGACAGUUGUAAAAUAAUCGCACAUUAUCGUUAAAUGUUUAUGUUUACCACAUUUGGCUAAAACAUUUUCUCUCAAAAUGUUUGAAUGUAAUCAGUGCAACGCAAGUUUUGAUUGUUUGUAUAAAUUAAUCAUGCAUAGAAAUAUUCACGCUGUUACUCGCGAUGAACAUUCAUGUCCAAUGUGCGUAAACGUUUUUCAGUCUACCAAAAAUUUGGAAAACCAUAUUCGAUUGGUACAUACUCGAGAAACUCCAUUUCAUUGCCAAACUUGUGGCAAGCCAUUCUUGAGGCUAGACCAUCAUAUGAAUCACGCUCUGACGCACAAAAACGGUAUGCAUUGUAAGAAAUGUGGUGAAGUCUUCAAGACUAAAAAAGAAUUGGAAGGUCAUCGUCUGUCUCACGGGGCCAUAAAAUCAUUUAAUUGUCCUCAAUGUGUGAAAAAAUAUACCAGAAAAGAGCACCUGCAGACGCAUCUCCGAUCUCAUUCUUCUGAAUUGGAAAAUUCGUGCCCAUAUUGUAACCAGCAGUUCUGGAGACAGGGUCACUUGAACGAACACGUUAAAAUUCACAAAUUUAACAAUGUUACAAAUGAAUGUGUGUGUGCAGUUUGUGGGGUGCUUGUUGACAAAAUGUUAUUU